rnacentral:rRNA from 1 species
AACGAACGCUGGCGGCAGGCCUAACACAUGCAAGUCGAGCGAUGAAGCACCUUCGGGUGUGGAUUAGCGGCGGACGGGUUAGUAACGCGUGGGAAUAUACCCAAAGGUACGGAAUAGCCUCUGGAAACGGAGAGUAAUACCGUAUGUGCCCUACGGGGGAAAGAUUUAUCGCCUUUGGAUUAGCCCGCGUUGGAUUGGUAGUUGGUGGGGUAACGGCUCACCAAGCCGACGAUCCAUAGCUGGUUUGAGAGGAUGAUCAGCAACACUGGGACUGAGACACGGCCCAGACUCCUACGGGAGGCAGCAGUGGGGAAUCUUAGACAAUGGGGGAAACCCUGAUCUAGCCAUGCCGCGUGAGUGACGAAGGCCUUAGGGUCGUAAAGCUCUUUCGCCAGGGAAGAUAAUGACGGUACCUGGUAAAGAAGUCCCGGCUAACUCCGUG